UACGGGGGGAGCAAGCGUUGUUCGGAUUUACUGGGCGUAAAGGGCGCGUAGGCGGCCUGUGCAAGUCAGUUGUGAAAUCUCCGGGCUUAACUCGGAACGGUCAACUGAUACUGCUCGGCUAGAGUGCAGAAGGGGCAAUCGGAAUUCUUGGUGUAGCGGUGAAAUGCGUAGAUAUCAAGAGGAACACCUGAGGUGAAGACGGGUUGCUGGGCUGACACUGACGCUGAGGCGCGAAAGCCAGGGGAGCAAACGGG
rnacentral:rRNA from 1 species